UCAGCAGCCCCCGGUAAUUCCAGCUCCAAUAGCGUAUAUUAAAGUUGUUGUGGUUAAAAAGCUCGUAGUUGAACCUUGGGCCUGGCUGGCCGGUCCGCCUCACCGCGUGCACUGGUCCGGCCGGGCCUUUCCCUCUGCGGAACCCCAUGCCCUUCAAAAAGUGUGGCGGGGAAACAGGACUUUUACUUUGAAAAAAUUAGAGUGCUCAAGGCAGGCCUAUGCUCGAAUACAUUAGCAUGGAAUAAUAGAAUAGGACGUGUGGUUCUAUUUUGUUGGUUUCUAGGACCGCCGUAAUGAUUAAUAGGGACAGUCGGGGGCAUCAGUAUUCAAUUGUCAGAGGUGAAAUUCUUGGAUUUAUUGAAGACUAACUACUGCGAAAGCAUUUGCCAAGGAUGUUUUCAUUAAUCAGGAACGAAAGUUAGGGGAUCGAAGACGAUCAGAUACCGUCGUAGUCUUAACCAUAAACUAUGCCGACUAGGGAUCGGACGAUGUUACAUUUUUGACGCGUUCGGCACCUUACGAGAAAUCAAAGUGCUUGGGCUCCAGGGGGAGUAUGGUCGCAAGGCUGAAACUUAAAGAAAUUGACGGAAGGGCACCACCAGGGGUGGAGCCUGCGGCUUAAUUUGACCCAAACACGGGA
rnacentral:rRNA from 1 species